rnacentral:rRNA from 1 species
UACAGAGGUCUCAAGCGUUGUUCGGAUUCAUUGGGCGUAAAGGGUGCGUAGGUGGCGCGCUAAGUCGGGUGUGAAAUCUCGGAGCUUAACUCCGAAAUUGCAUUCGAUACUGGCGUGCUUGAGGACUGGAGAGGAGACUGGAAUUCAUGGUGUAGCAGUGAAAUGCGUAGAGAUCGGGAGGAACACCUGUGGCGAAGGCGGCCGACUGGGCCGACCCU